rnacentral:rRNA from 1 species
UGAGGAAUAUUGGUCAAUGGGCGAGAGCCUGAACCAGCCAAGUCGCGUGAAGGAUGACGGCCCUACGGGUUGUAAACUUCUUUUGUCAGGGAGCAAUUGAGUCCACGUGUGGGCUUAGCGAGAGUACCUGAAGAAAAAGCAUCGGCUAACUCCGUGCCAGCAGCCGCGGUAAUACGGAGGAUGCGAGCGUUAUCCGGAUUUAUUGGGUUUAAAGGGUGCGUAGGCGGAAUAUCAAGUCAGCGGUAAAAAUUCGGGGCUCAACCCCGUCGUGCCGUUGAAACUGAUGUUCUUGAGUGGGCGAGAAGUAUGCGGAAUGCGUGGUGUAGCGGUGAAAUGCAUAGAUAUCACGCAGAACUCCGAUUGCGAAGGCAGCAUACCGGCGCCCAACUGACGCUGAAGC